rnacentral:rRNA from 1 species
UACGUAGGGUGCGAGCGUUGUCCGGAAUUAUUGGGCGUAAAGAGCUUGUAGGCGGUUUGUCGCGUCUGCUGUGAAAAUCCGGGGCUCAACCCCGGACUUGCAGUGGGUACGGGCAGACUAGAGUGUGGUAGGGGAGACUGGAAUUCCUGGUGUAGCGGUGGAAUGCGCAGAUAUCAGGAGGAACACCGGUGGCGAAGGCGGGUCUCUGGGCCGUAACUGACGCUGAGGAGCGAAAGCGUGGGGAGCGAACAGG